rnacentral:rRNA from 1 species
CUAGAGAUAGAAAGUUACUUCGGUACAUCGGUGACAGGUGGUGCAUGGUUGUCGUCAGCUCGUGUCGUGAGAUGUUGGGUUAAGUCCCGCAACGAGCGCAACCCCUAUUGUUAGUUGCCAUCAUUCAGUUGGGCACUCUAGCGAGACUGCCGGUAAUAAACCGGAGGAAGGUGGGGAUGACGUCAAAUCAUCAUGCCCCUUAUGACCUGGGCUACACACGUGCUACAAUGGUUGGUACAACGAGUUGCGAGUCGGUGACGGCGAGCUAAUCUCUUAAAGCCAAUCUCAGUUCGGAUUGUAGGCUGCAACUCGCCUACAUGAAGUCGGAAUCGCUAGUAAUCGCGGAUCAGCACGCCCGCGGUCGAAUACGUUCCCGGGCCUU